AUUGAACGCUGGCGGCAUGCCUUACACAUGCAAGUCGAACGGUAACAGGUCUUCGGAUGCUGACGAGUGGCGAACGGGUGAGUAAUACAUCGGAACGUGCCUAGUAGUGGGGGAUAACUACUCGAAAGAGUGGCUAAUACCGCAUGAGAUCUACGGAUGAAAGCAGGGGAUCGCAAGACCUUGUGCUACUAGAGCGGCCGAUGGCAGAUUAGGUAGUUGGUGGGAUAAAAGCUUACCAAGCCGACGAUCUGUAGCUGGUCUGAGAGGACGAUCAGCCACACUGGGACUGAGACACGGCCCAGACUCCUACGGGAGGCAGCAGUGGGGAAUUUUGGACAAUGGGCGCAAGCCUGAUCCAGCAAUGCCGCGUGCAGGAUGAAGGCCUUCGGGUUGUAAACUGCUUUUGUACGGAACGAAAAGCCCUGGGUUAAUACCCUGGGGUCAUGACGGUACCGUAAGAAUAAGCACCGGCUAACUACGUGCCAGCCGCCGCUGUAA
rnacentral:rRNA from 1 species